rnacentral:rRNA from 1 species
CCUACGGGGGGCUGCAGUAGGGAAUAUUGGACAAUGGGCGAAAGCCUGAUCCAGCCAUGCCGCGUGAUAGAUGAAGGCCCUCUGGGUUGUAAAUAUCUUUUAUCUGGGAAGAAACAAUCUUAUUCUUAAGAUCUUGACGGUACCAGAGGAAUAAGCACCGGCUAACUCCGUGCCAGCAGCCGCGGUACUACGGAGGGUGCAAGCGUCACUGGGUUUCACUGGGGCGUAGGCGGGCUUAUAAGGCAGGAGUGAAAGCUCCGGGCUUAACUUGGAAACUGCCAUUGAUACUGCCAGUCUUGAAUGUCGUAGAGGUAAGCGGAAUGUUGCAUGUAGCGGUGAAAUGCUUAGAUAUGUUACAGAACACCAAUGGCGAAGGCAGCUUACUAUGCGAUGAUUGACGCUGAGGCACGAAAGCGUGGGGAGCAAACAGGAUUAGAUACCCCAGUAGUC